rnacentral:rRNA from 1 species
GACGAACGCUGGCGGCGUGCCUAAUACAUGCAAGUUGAGCGCUGAAGGUUGGUACUUGUACCGACUGGAUGAGCAGCGAACGGGUGAGUAACGCGUGGGGAAUCUGCCUUUGAGCGGGGGACAACAUUUGGAAACGAAUGCUAAUACCGCAUAAAAACUUUAAACACAAGUUUUAAGUUUGAAAGAUGCAAUUGCAUCACUCAAAGAUGAUCCCGCGUUGUAUUAGCUAGUUGGUGAGGUAAAGGCUCACCAAGGCGAUGAUACAUAGCCGACCUGAGAGGGUGAUCGGCCACAUUGGGACUGAGACACGGCCCAAACUCCUACGGGAGGCAGCAGUAGGGAAUCUUCGGCAAUGGACGAAAGUCUGACCGAGCAACGCCGCGUGAGUGAAGAAGGUUUUCGGAUCGUAAAACUCUGUUGGUAGAGAAGAACGUUGGUGAGAGUGGAAAGCUCAUCAAGUGACGGUAACUACACAGAAAGGGACGGCUAACUACGUG